GGCAACCCGCUCGGGUCUCCUUACACAUUGUGGAAGCUUUGUUCUUUCACUCUUUGCUUUAAAUCUUGCUGCUGCUCACUCUUUGGGUCCACGCUGCUUUUAUGAGCUGUAACACUCACCGCAAAAGGCUGCAGCUUCACUCUUGAAGCCGGCGAGACCAGGAGCCCACCAGGAGGACGAACAACUCCGGGUGCGCUGCCUUAAGAGCUGUAACACUCACUGCAAUGGUCUGCAGCUUCACUCCUGAGCCAGUGAGACCCCGAACCCACCAGAAGGAAGAAACUCCGAACACAUCCAAAUAUCAGAAGGAACAAACUCCAGACGCGCCACCUUAAGAGCUGUACCACUCACCGCGAGGGUCCGCGGCUUCAUUCUUGAAGUCAGUGAGACCAAGAACCCACCAAUUCUGGACACACCAUCAGCAAUGUUGAGAUGACUAAUAACAAAAGGGAAAAGCUACCUUCACAAGGAGAUGUCCAGUUGACACUAUCUCAACCAAAAUUAUUAAACAUAGCAUCAGCAAUCGUGGGACAAACAGACGCAAACAUCUCCUGGUGUGAGGCGCAUCAAGGAAAAACAAUCUACAAGAAACAAAAUGGUGAGAAAAAGCAGCACACUCACGGCUCUGAAGAGCACAGCAUAAGGCUACAAAAAGGACCAAGCACCUUCUCAACCUGCAAUGUGCUCAGUGUCUGUAAAUCACAAGUUAGGUGAUGAAGGGCUGGUAGUUUCCCAUGAAUUAAUAACUUUCCUUCUUGCCCCCAUGUUAUCUCCCUCACCUGACCCCCCCCCAAUAAAACAUCCUUAAAAGGCUCCUCUCAAAUUCCUUGCAAAUAUUAGGCUCCUCUCAAAUUGCUUGCACAUGCUUGGAGAAGCUCACAGUGGUUAGUACACUCAUACACAACUGAACUUGAGCGACACAAAGCUUACAAGACAGCAAAGACAACAGCAAAGCUGGGCCCAGCAGCCAUCACCUAAAGAACUCUUCACUCGUUACAUUGGAGCAGGUGAUCUCUCUGGAACCAGGAACCACAGAACCCUGAAGGACACGGAGCUGGUGGCUAAGGAUUCAAGGCCUGCAGUGAAAAUGUAACAUUUCCCUCCAAGUGCUUAUUUCUGCUAUAAACUGGUUUAGUUUUGCAAUGAACAACUAGAUUUCUAACUGAUAUUCACGUUAAUAAACUUUUCUUUUUUAA